rnacentral:rRNA from 1 species
AUUGAACGCUGGCGGCAGGCUUAACACAUGCAAGUCGAGCGGGCGAGGUUACUUCGGUAACUGAGCUAGCGGCGGACGGGUGAGUAAAGCUUAGGAAUCUGCCUAUUAGUGGGGGACAACAUUCCGAAAGGGAUGCUAAUACCGCAUACGUCCUACGGGAGAAAGCAGGGGAUCACUUGUGACCUUGCGCUAAUAGAUGAGCCUAAGUCGGAUUAGCUAGUUGGUGGGGUAAAGGCCUACCAAGGCGACGAUCUGUAGCGGGUCUGAGAGGAUGAUCCGCCACACUGGGACUGAGACACGGCCCAGACUCCUACGGGAGGCAGCAGUGGGGAAUAUUGGACAAUGGGGGGAACCCUGAUCCAGCCAUGCCGCGUGUGUGAAGAAGGCCUUUUGGUUGUAAAGCACUUUAAGCGAGGAGGAGGCUUACCUGGUUAAUACCUGGGAUAAGUGGACGUUACUCGCAGAAUAAGCACCGGCUAACUCUGUGCCAGCAGCCGCAGUAACAC